UUGUUAUAGUGCCAUGGGUAACCCAU
rnacentral:piRNA from 1 species